rnacentral:rRNA from 1 species
UACGUAGGGGGCUAGCGUUGUCCGGAAUCAUUGGGCGUAAAGAGCGUGUAGGCGGCUUGGUAAGUCCGCUGUGAAAGUCCAGGGCUCAACCCUGGAAUGCCAGUGGAUACUGUCAAGCUAGAGUCCGGAAGAGGCGAGUGGAAUUCCUGGUGUAGCGGUGAAAUGCGUAGAUAUCAGGAGGAACACCAGUGGCGAAGGCGGCCGGGCU